rnacentral:rRNA from 1 species
GACGAACGCUGGCGGCGUGCUUAACACAUGCAAGUCGAACGGACCCUUUGGGGUUAGUGGCGAACGGGUGAGUAACACGUGGGUGAUCUGCCCUGCACUUUGGGAUAAGCCUGGGAAACUGGGUCUAAUACCGGAUAGGACUACGCACUGCAUGGUGUGUGGUGGAAAGCUUUUGCGGUGUGGGAUGGGCCCGCGGCCUAUCAGCUUGUUGGUGGGGUGAUGGCCUACCAAGGCGACGACGGGUAGCCGGCCUGAGAGGGUGACCGGCCACACUGGGACUGAGAUACGGCCCAGACUCCUACGGGAGGCAGCAGUGGGGAAUAUUGCACAAUGGGCGCAAGCCUGAUGCAGCGACGCCGCGUGAGGGAUGACGGCCUUCGGGUUGUAAACCUCUUUCGCCAGGGACGAAGCGCAAGUGACGGUACCUGGAGAAGAAGGACCGGCCAACUACGUGCCAGCCGCCGCGGUAAAAC